rnacentral:lncRNA from 1 species
UUUCUCUCGCAGAUCAAACCAAGGACCAGUCCGAAAGCGGCAAAUGUGAAAGGCUCAUUCCAUUGCCACCGGGGCAGGAGUCGUACAGGCUGACCUGCGUGUACAGGUGCAAGGACGAUCCUUCUCGCUUUGAAAAUGAACCCGACGGCAUUCCUUGUGGGCAUGCCCCGGUUAUACGAGAAAUAGCCGUUUGCAAGAAUGGAACAUGCGUGUUGUCUCGUCCUGUCCCCUGCCCACCAGAUGAGACGGAAGGUACUACGACUUCGGCAUCUGUGCCCACUCAACAGUCUAACUCGACGCAAGCGCAGUAGUGCGAAAAUGAGCACAGAUGGA